rnacentral:rRNA from 1 species
GACGAACGCUGGCGGCGUGCCUAAUACAUGCAAGUCGAACGAGAGCGACCGGUGCUUGCACUGGUCAAUCUAGUGGCGAACGGGUGAGUAACACGUGGGUAACCUGCCCAUCAGAGGGGGAUAACAUUCGGAAACGGAUGCUAAAACCGCAUAGGUCUUCGAGCCGCAUGGCUUGAAGAGGAAAAGAGGCGCAAGCUUCUGCUGAUGGAUGGACCCGCGGUGCAUUAGCUAGUUGGUGAGGUAACGGCUCACCAAGGCAGUGAUGCAUAGCCGACCUGAGAGGGUGAUCGGCCACAUUGGGACUGAGACACGGCCCAAACUCCUACGGGAGGCAGCAGUAGGGAAUCUUCCGCAAUGGACGCAAGUCUGACGGAGCAACGCCGCGUGAGUGAAGAAGGUUUUCGGAUCGUAAAACUCUGUUGUUAGAGAAGAACAAGUGCUAGAGUAACUGUUAGCGC